rnacentral:lncRNA from 1 species
CACCUGCAGCAAACCUGGUUAUGUCAGUGUACAACGAGCGCUGACUUAACAUUGUUAUGGAUUCUAUGGCAAAAUUUUUUUUUUUUAACUUUAAGAUUUAUAUUCAGAUAAUGUUUAAAAUAUUUUUAUAAUUUAACCAGUAAUAUUUUGUAUAUUUUAUGAUAAAAAUAAAACUAUAUGCAUAUCAAAUAUUUUUGGAUCCUUUUCAAUUUUAUUUAUUAUAGUUUUUUUUUUAAAAUUAGACCCCUUAACUAUUAAUAUACGGGGGGACACGGACUUGGACCCCGGGCGGUCGCACCGCUUGUCCCCCUCCUCAGCCGGACCUGUGUACAACCAUUUCGUAUUAUUUUUUUGGGCCUGUCUCUAAAAUAGAAUGUAAACUGUUGCCUUUAUUCAUGUACCGUGAAGCGAGAGAGACAAUGGGGGGGAAGGGUGUACUUGUCUUGGAAGCAUUAACAACAUAGUCUUUG